ensembl:lncRNA
GAAGAGACUGUGCUAACCGCUACGUUUAAAGUUAUGAAGCUACCACUAGACAUUCGACUGGACAUUGGAUUUGGGAAGAUGCCUGUGUGAAUCAAGACAACGGCUGUACAGACGUAUUGUUCCCGCAAGAAUAGAGAACAGUUUCGGCUUCUCUUUGGCCUUGCCGCGAGUUAUCCCACGGGAACACGCAGGAACGCUGAACCGCCUGAAGGAGGGGGGUGCGGACGGUCAGACAGGAGACGGACCAGAGGGAGCAUCGACCGUUUGGCCGUUGCCUGUGGAACUGCUAAUUUUGACAGGCGAGGCCGGGGAGGCCGGCUGAGGGUCAGGGGCCGGCUGAGGGUCAGGGGCCAGGAGAGCCGGCUGAGGGGUAGGAUCCGGCGGAGGAGCAGGAGCCGGCGGAGGGCCAGCGGCCGGCGGAGGGCGCCGGGGGAGGAGCAGGAGCCGGGGGAGCCGGCGGAGGGUCAGGACCCCGUGGGAGAGCCGGCAGAGGGUCAGGACCCCGUGGGAGAGCCGGCGGAGGGUCAGGACCCCGUGGGAGAGCCGGCGGAGGGUCAGGACCCCGUGGGAGAGCCGGCGGAGGGUCAGGACCCCGUGGGAGAGCCGGCGGAGGAACCAGGACCGGCGAGGGCGCCGCUGAGGCUGGGACAGGCGAGGGCGCCGCAGGGAGAGGCGGCGACACCUGGGCAGGAGAGGACGCCGCUGGUUGAGGUGGCGGCGGUAUCCGGGCAGGAGAGGGCGCCGCGGGAUGAGGUGGCGGCUCCCUGGGCAGCAGGGGGCGCUGGCUGCCCCUCCAGGGCAGCAGGGGGCGCUUUAAGGCCAAAUUCUUCUUCUAGGAGCCCGAGGAACACUUCUGCAGACACACACGGGAUGUCCCCUCGUUCCCAUAGCUCUCCUGCCCCCUCGAGUGCCCGACCGGUGAGCAGGGAGAGCACUAAGGGCUCAAAUCCGGUGGCGAGACAGAUCUUGUUGCUCUGAAGGUACUGAAGGACCUGCUCUAAAAAGGGGAGUAACCGUUCGGGGGAGCCGUUGUACCUAUCGGGCAUUGGUGUGUCCACUACGGGUGAGGGAGCAGGGAGUGGGACGGCAAUAGGCCGCGGAACAGGAGCAGGGGCUGGGGCAGGUAGCGGAGCUGGAGUAGGGACCAGGGCAGGCCGCGGGACAGGAGUAGGGACCGGGGCAGGCCGCGGGUUAGGAGUGGGGACCGGGGCAGGCCGGAAUGAGUCUCUGGUGGUCUGUUGCCCGCGUCGGCGUUGCCGUGGCUGACGCAGGCCUGGGCUCGGUGAAGGCCACCGGGGGAUCCAGCGGUCCAGGGGGUGACGGUAGGGGUCCUCCUCCUCGGAG